AUGCCAUGGUGUGGACAAUGUUUUUGCAAAGCCUUGUAUCUCUGCAAUGCCUCAUAGAGAGACUCCAAUUCAUGUUGUUAUUAAAAACCAAAUAUCUCGUUUUUAAACUU
rnacentral:snoRNA from 1 species